UAGAAUAGGGUGUAUGUCGGUAGCACGAUGGAUUUUUGAAUCCUUAAGAGUAGGUUCAAGGCCUGCAAUUCUAG
rnacentral:tRNA from 1 species